CCAUUUUUCCCCAUUUUUCCCAUUUCCCCCCAUUUUUUCCCCAUUUCCUCCCCGUUUCCCCCCUCCCUGCCCGUUUUCACCAAUUUCCCCGUUUUUCUCCCCAUUUUUCCCCAUUUUUCCCCAUUUCCCGUUUUUUCUCCCCGUUUUCCUCCCCGUUUCCCCCCUCCCUGCUGGUUUUUCCCAAAUUCCCGUUUUUUCCCCCCGUUUUCCCCCAUUUCCCGUUUUUCCCCCCAUUUUUCCCCAAUUCCCUUUUUUUCCCGCCCGUUUCCUCCCGUUUCCCAUUUUUCCCCCCGUUUUUCCCCAAUUCCCAUUUUUUCUCCCCGUUUCCCCCCGUUUUUCCCCAUUUCCCAUUUUUCCUCCCCCGUUUUUCCCAAAUUCCCAUUUUCCCCAAUUCCCAUUUUUCCCAAAUUCCCGUGUUUUUGCCCCGUUCCAGGCGCAGGACGAGUGGCGCUCCCUGGCCAUGGCGCUGGACCGGCUCUGCCUGUGGGCGCUGCUGGCGCUGACGGGCGGCUGCGCCCUGGCCACGGGGCUGGACGCGGCGCUGCACCGGCCCCCCGACACCCCCUUCCCCUGACAGCACCCAAAACUGCCCCAAUUCACCCCAAAAAUAGCCCCAAAAUAGCCCCAAAAUAUCCCCAAAGUAUCCUGAAAAUAUCCCGAAAAUAUCACCAAAAUAUCCCAAAAUAUUCGGAAUUUAUCUCAGAAAUAUUCUGAAUUUAGCCCAAAAUGACACCCAAAAAUAUCCCCAAAAUAUCCCAAAAAUAUCCCCAAAAUAUCCCCAAAAUUAUCCCCAAAAUAUCCCAAAAUAUUCAGAAUUUAUCUCAGAAAUAUUCUGAAUUUAGCCCAAAAUGAUACCCAAAAAUAUCCCCAAAAUAGCCCCAAAAUAUCCCGAAAUUAUCCCCAAAAUAUCCCCAAAAUAUCACCAAAAUAUCCCAAAAUAUUCGGAAUUUAUCUCAGAAAUAUUCUGAAUUUAGCCCAAAAUUAUGCCCAAAAAUAUCCCCAAAGUAUCCCCAAAAAACCCCCCAAAAAAUCUCCAAACAAAAUCUCCAAAAUUACCCCCAAAAUUUCUAAAAAAAAACCCCAAAAAUCCCCAAAAAAUUCCCCCAAAAAUUCCCCCAAAUUUUCCAAAAUUAUCCCAAAAUAUCCCCCAAAAAUCCCCAAAAAUUUCCCAAAAAUCCCCAAAAAAAUCCCCCCCAAAAAAUCCUCAAAAAAUCCACCAAAAAAUCUCCAAAAUCUCCCAAAAUAUCCCCAAAAAAUUCCCCAAAAAAAUCCCCAAAAAUUUCCCAAAAAUCUUCCCAAAAACCCCCAAAAAUCCCCAAAAAAUUCCCAAAAAAAUUCCAUAAAAUCCGCCCCCCCCCAAAAAAAAAAAUCUCCCAAAAUAUCCCAAAAAAAUUCCCCAAAAACAUCCCCAAAAACUUCCCAAAAAUCUUCCAAAAAUCCCCCAAAAAUCCCCAAAAAACCCCCUAAAAUUUCCCCAAAAUUCCCCAGAAAAAUCCCCCCCUAAAAAAUAAAAAAAAUCCCCAAAAAAUUCCCCA
rnacentral:lncRNA from 1 species